GACGAACGCUGGCGGCGUGCUUAACACAUGCAAGUCGAACGGAAAGGCCCCUUUGGUGCUACUCGUGUGGCGGACGGGUGCGUAACACAUGAGUGACCUUCCCUUGACUUCGGGAUAACUUUAGGCCACUGGGGCUAAUACCGGUUAGGAAUCCUUGCUGCAUGUUGGGGGUUGGAAAGCUUCUGCGGUUUUGGAUGGACUCACGGCUUAUCAGCUUGUUGGUGGGGUGGUGGGUUAACAACGCUUUGACGGGUAGCCGGCCUGCGAGGGCGACCGGCCACAUUGGGGCUGAGAUACGGCCCAGACUCCUACGGGAGGCAGCAGGGGGGAAUAUUGCACAAUGGGCGGAAGCCUGAUGGAGGAAAGCCGGGGGCGGGAUGACGGCCUUCGGGUUGUAAACCGCUUUCAGCAGGGGCGAAGCUUGUGGUGACGGUACCUGCAGAAGAAGCACCGGCUAACUACGUG
rnacentral:rRNA from 1 species